GCAAGUCGAACGGUGAACUCGGAGCUUGCUCCGAGGGAUCAGUGGCGAACGGGUGAGUAACACGUGAGUAACCUACCCUUGACUCUGGAAUAACCGCUGGAAACGGCGUCUAAUACCGGAUACGAGACCAAGAGGCAUCUCUCUCGUCUGGAAAGUUUUUCGGUCUGGGAUGGACUCGCGGGCUAUCAGCUAGUUGGUGAGGUAACGGCUCACCAAGGCAACGACGGGUAGCCGGCCUGAGAGGGCGACC
rnacentral:rRNA from 1 species